rnacentral:rRNA from 1 species
UACGAACUGUGCGAACGUUAUUCGGAAUCACUGGGCUUAAAGGGUGCGUAGGCGGCUGCCUAAGUCAGGUGUGAAAUCUCCCGGCUCAACCGGGAAACUGCGCUUGAUACUGGCGGUCUCGAGUCCGGGAGAGGUGAGUGGAACUGCGAGUGUAGAGGUGAAAUUCGUAGAUAUUCGCAAGAACACCAGUGGCGACGGCGGACUCACUGGCCCGGUACUGACGCUGAGGUGCGAAAGCGUGGGGAGCAACAGGAUUAAGAA